rnacentral:lncRNA from 1 species
AAAAAUAGUCAAUAAGCUUUAAUUUUUAAUCAAAGAGAUAAAUAAUAGCACUGAGUUAACACAAGAAAAACGUCAAGAUCCAUGAGGAAUGUCAAUAUUUCUGAGAGCUAGGAUGUUAAUGGUUUAAAUAAUAAAACCUGUUCUUCAUUUUCUGCGACCAACAAUACUUGCAACAUUUUGUUUUACAGGGUAAAGAAGGAGACUUUGUGUACAAAGAAGUCAUCAAAUCACCUACUGCCUCUCGCAUCUCUCUUGGGAAAAAGGUGAAAUCAGUGAAAGAGACGAUGAGAAAGAGAAUGUCUAAAAAAUACAGCAGCUCUGUCUCUGAGCAGGACUCGGGCCUUGAUGGAAUGCCUGGCUCCCCUCCGCCUUCACAGCCCGACCCCGAACACUUGGACAAGCCCAAGCUCAAGGCCGGGGGUUCUGUAGAAAGUCUUCGCAGUUCUCUCAGUGGGCAGAGCUCCAUGAGCGGUCAAACAGUGAGCACCA